UGCCACAGCCAUAGCACCCUGCAGCCCAAGACCAGUUACUCACUGAAGCUAAGCAGGGAUAAGCCUGGUCAGUACCUGGAUAGGAGACCACAUGGGAAACUCGAUAGCUGUUGGAA
rnacentral:rRNA from 1 species